rnacentral:rRNA from 1 species
UAGGGAAUCUUCCGCAAUGGACGAAAGUCUGACGGAGCAACGCCGCGUGAGUGAAGAAGGAUUUCGGUUCGUAAAACUCUGUUGUUAGGGAAGAAAAAAUGUAUAGUAACUAUAUACAAAAGAGACGGUACCUAACCAGAAAGCCACGGCUAACUACGUGCCAGCAGCCGCGGUAAUACGUAGGUGACAAGCGUUGUCCGGAAUUAUUGGGCGUAAAGCGCGCGCAGGUGGUUUAGAAAGUCUGAUGUGAAAGCCCACGGCUCAACCGUGGAGGGUCAUUGGAAACUAAUAAACUUGAGUGCAGGAGAGAAAAGUGGAAUUCCUAGUGUAGCGGUGAAAUGCGUAGAGAUUAGGAGGAACACCGGUGGCGAAAGCGGCUUUUUGGCCUGCAACUGACACUGAGGCGCGAAAGCGUGGGGAGCAAACAGG